rnacentral:rRNA from 1 species
UACGUAGGGUGCAAGCGUUGUCCGGAAUUAUUGGGGCGUAAAGAGCUCGUAGGUGGCCUGUCGCGUCGGCUGUGAAAACUCGGGGCUCAACUCCGAGCUUGCAGUCGAUACGGGCAUCACUGGAGUUCGGCAGGGGAGACUGGAAUUCCUGGUGUAGCGGUGGAAUGCGCAGAUAUCAGGAGGAACACCGGUGGCGAAGGCGGAUCUCUGGGCCUUGACUGAUCGCUGAGGAGCGAAAGCUGGGGGAGCGAACAGG